rnacentral:rRNA from 1 species
UACGAAGGGGGCUAGCGUUGCUCGGAAUCACUGGGCGUAAAGCGCACGUAGGCGGACUCUUAAGUCGGUGGUGAAAUCCUGGAGCUCAACUCCAGAACUGCCUUCGAUACUGAGAGUCUCGAGUCCGAGAGAGGUGAGUGGAACUGCGAGUGUAGAGGUGAAAUUCGUAGAUAUUCGCAAGAACACCAGUGGCGAAGGCGGCCAACUGGUCCGGUACUGACGCUGAGGUGCGAAAGCGUGGGGAGCAAACAGG